UGGCGAUAGCUACUCGUUAGUUAUCUGUGGCUCUAAGGAUGCUGGGAAGUUUCCGCUACGGAAGUGUCACUGGACAGAGGUUGCUAGCUGAACGUUAGGUAAAGUUAGCAGAGAGACCACAGAGGAAGAGGGACCUCCAAACAUGUUUCCCCCCCAGUUGUCCUCACCUUCUGUCUCUCCUUCCUCUGAGGAGAUGAGGAUUGUCCCUUUUCCGUCUUCUAUCUGAACGUCUGGAGCCACCAUGCCGAACCUUUCCUUCAGGAUCUGAGCACAGGGGAAAACAAAUAACAACAUUAAAUCAUAAAACAAAUAAACAAGGUGACGGUCAAAAAAGUAUAUAUAUAAAAAAAAAACAGUAUCAAAAACUAGAGUUGGGACAACAUACGCAGCUCAAAUGUGUCUGUGUGUCACUGGAUUUGCACUGCGAUCCUGAUUUAUUGUAAUUCUACAAAUAUUGCGAUCAGAUAGUAUCCAUAUUUACGAUUCCCUUUUCCUCCUUUGUGUAGAGUCACGAUGUAUUUUCUUUGCACAUUCACAUUUUUUUCUUAACUGGGUAACAGGGGCGCUGCGUCCUCUCACCGAAAUGCACUUUUAAUGAUUGUUUUUUCUUAAAAAAUAUCAAAUUGAUGCCAGUUAAACACUAUUACCGUUUGCCAGAAAAUGCAGAAUGACUCCAUAAAUACCAAAAGUGUAGUAAGCAGACACUCAAAGGGCUUAAACAGCUCUGAAUUCACAUAAACACCACAGUCCCGAUGUUGUGUUCUUUGCUAUUUACUCUCAUCUUAAAAGGGAAAAUAUAAGAACAAA